AUCUUAUCAAGAGAGGCAGAGGGACUGGCCCUGUGACGCCCAGCAACCGGUAUGGAACACGGUGCUAAUUCCAGCAGAGUCUGUUUACUCUGGGAGAUAAGAA
rnacentral:ncRNA from 2 species